GCCUCUGAUCCGGAUCUUCUUCUAUGAUAUCCUGAGCAAGAAGCUGCUGGAGAGCCAGGAGCCAGCCCACGCACAGCCAGCAUCCCCUCAGAAUGUGCUCCCAGUGAAGAGUCUCCUAAAGCGUGCUUUUCAAAAGUCGGCAUCAGUCCGGAAUAUUCUCAGGCCUGUUGGGGGUAAACGGGUCGACUCUGCAGAAGUCCAGAAGGUUUGCAACAUCUGUGUCCUCUACCAGACCGCGCUGACAACUCUCACACAGAUUCGGCUGCAGAUACUCACAGGUCUCACUUACCUUGAUGACCUGCUGCCCAAACUGUGGGCAUUUAUCUGUGAGCUCGGGCCCCACGGAGGGUUAAAGCUCUUCUUGGAAUGCCUGAACAACGACACUGAAGAGUCCAAGCAACUCCUGGCCAUGCUGAUGCUGUUCUGUGACUGUUCGCGGCACCUCAUCACAGAACGCCAAGGGCGAGACCUUGGAGCUGUUCCAGUCUGUCCACGGGUGGCUGAUGGUGCUGUAUGAGCGGGACUGCCGGCGGCGCUUCACCCCCGAGGACCACUGGCUGCGAAAGGAUCUCAAACCUAGUGUGCUCUUCCAAGAACUCGACAGGGACAGAAAACGGGCACAGUUGAUCCUGCAGUACAUCCCACAUGUCAUCCCUCACAAAAACGUGAGUUGCACU
rnacentral:sRNA from 1 species